UACGUAGGGUGCGAGCGUUGUUCGGAAUUAUUGGGCGUAAUGAGCUCGUAGGCGGUGUGUCACGUCGAUCGUGAAAACUUUCAGCUUAACUGGGAGCUUGCGGUCGAUACGGGCAUCACUGGAGUUCGGCAGGGGAGACUGGAAUUCAAGGUGUAGCGGUGAAAUGCGCAGAUAUCAGGAGGAACACCGGUGGCGAAGGCGGAUCUCUGGGCCUUACCUGACGCUCAGGUGCGAAAGCUAGGGGAGCGAACAGG
rnacentral:rRNA from 1 species